UGGGGAAUUUUGCACAAUGGGGGAAACCCUGAUGCAGCGACGCCGCGUGAUUUAGAAGGCCUUCGGGUUGUAAAAAUCUUUUCUAUGGGAAGAAAAUGACAGUACCAUAGGAAUAAGGACCGGCUAAUUACGUGCCAGCAGCCGCGGUAAUACGUAAGGUCCGAGCGUUGUCCGGAAUCAUUGGGCGUAAAGGGUACGUAGGCGGGUAAGCAAGUUAGAAGUGAAAUCCUAUAGCUCAACUAUAGUAAGCUUUUAAAACUGCUCAUCUUGAGGUAUGGAAGGGAAAGGGGAAUUCCUAGUGUAGCGGAGAAAUGCACAGAUAUUAGGAGGAAUACCGGUGGCGAAGGCGACUUUCUGGCCAUAACCUGACGCUGAGGUACGAAAGCGUGGGUAGCAAACAGG
rnacentral:rRNA from 1 species